ACGGAGGGUGCAAGCGUUAUUCGGAAUUACUGGGCGUAAAGCGCGUGUAGGCGGUCCUUCAAGUGUGAUGUGAAAGCCCCUGGCUUAACCCGUGAAGGGCUUGCGAACUGGAAGACUUGAGUGCAGGAGAGGAAAGUGGAAUUCCCAGUGUAGCGGUGAAAUUCGUAGAGAUUAGGAGGAAUACCAGUGGCGAAGGCGACUAUCUGGACGGUAACUGACGCUGAGGCGCGAAAGCGUGGGGAGCAAACAG
rnacentral:rRNA from 1 species